GGGCGAUUAGUUUAGUGGCAGAACGAAGGUCUCCAAAACCUUUGGCGGGAGUUCGAUUCUCUCAUCGCCCGCCA
rnacentral:tRNA from 1 species